CCUCUGAUCUGAUUAUCUUAGGCUUUUUUGUAGGUGUUAGCAUUUUCCAAAUAUUUAUCAAAUGUUUCUUUUUGACACACACAAGGAGAGUCAAUGAUUUUUAAAGACUUGAUAAAUGUUAUAACUAUUUAUUGCUUACUGUUUUUUUUUUAAUAGUAGUGCUAAUAGGAUUACAUGGUCAAGAACCAUAGAAGAUUAUUCAAUUGGGAAGUUCUCUCCUUUAUUCAGUAUUGAAGUAAGAGAUUUGAGAAAUGUAUUAAGUGUUUGAGGAGGAUAUGUAUUGAGUAGAAUAAUCAUGGAGAUAAUGAGUGGAAUGAAACAUACUUCUUAAAAGAUUGAUAAGGAAGUACAGACUCAACCU
rnacentral:lncRNA from 1 species